CAACUAAAGAAUCGUACAUUUCAAUCGUGUCGUACAUUUGUUGCUGUGUAGAAAUUAUUAUCAAUAUUAUCGGUAUGUUAUUUGUAUUUGGAUCAUUGCUGAAUUUUGUAUUAUUCAGUUAUAGUGUUCUAAGACAUAUUAUUUUGUUUUAGAAACCCGUUUAUCAUUUUUUCCCCGUUUCUGGACUACAUGUUUACAUUGUGAUGUUUUUGUAUUGCUGAGCUUUUCAUCCUAUGUUAUCAAUUCGUCGAAUUUCAUUACAAGUUUCCAACAGUUGGUUGUGUUUGGACAAGGAUUUGGGAGAUGCGUUUUCGAUUUUGUCAGUCAUCUCUAUGUGACACAUUGUGCUACCGGGUCACGUUAAAAGAGAAGUUACAAACUGUAGAUAUCUAUUUAUUGCAUCUCACGGAAUUUAUUUUUCUUGGUAUGGAAGUAGCGGAAUGACACUCAGGGAAUUGUAAUUUGGGCAUUUCGUCGGCCAGGUGCAACAAAGCGGUAUCGCUGCGACCUAUAUUUUUCAACAUUUUCAUAAUUAUUGGAGAGAGGUGGGCUUGGUAAUUACCAGCUAGCAACAUUAAUUCCACAUAGUGACUAUACACCGGCGUUCAAAAAAGAGAGCAAUACUCAAAAAUAUGGACACGAUGGCCAAAGCGACCUAUUCAUCAACUCAUCUAAAGCGAUUCAUUACACAGAGAGAACAUAGUUCACUUUCAAUGAAUCUGCAAUGCAACAACACCUGAAAAAGCUUGUGAUGUGACGCUUCGAUUUACUAUCCACGGUGAUGCGGCAACAUGCCUACAAGAAGUUUUAUCAAAAUCUAGAUAACGUUUCGCAGCAGGAGAAUAUUUUUUCGCUCGGUGUUAUAUAUUAUGAUAUUUAUUGUGUAAUAUUAUUCAUUCAUUGUG